rnacentral:tRNA from 1 species
GGGAGUUAGACGACUGUUGGUUGGUCGUAGCAGACUGUAAAUCUGCCCUCACAAAGCAUCAUUGGUUCGAUUCCAAUAGCUCCCA